rnacentral:rRNA from 1 species
CUACGUGCCAGCAGCCGCGGUAAUACGUAGGGUGCGAGCGUUAAUCGGAAUUACUGGGCGUAAAGCGAGCGCAGACGGUUACUUAAGCAGGAUGUGAAAUCCCCGGGCUCAACCUGGGAACUGCGUUCUGAACUGGGUGACUAGAGUGUGUCAGAGGGAGGUAGAAUUCCACGUGUAGCAGUGAAAUGCGUAGAGAUGUGGAGGAAUACCGAUGGCGAAGGCAGCCUCCUGGGAUAACACUGACGUUCAUGCUCGAAAGCGUGGGUAGCAAACAGGAUUAGAUACCCUGGUAGUCCACGCCCUAAACGAUGUCAAUUAGCUGUUGGGCAACUUGAUUGCUUAGUAGCGUAGCUAACGCGUGAAGUAGACCGCCUGGGGAGUACGGUCGCAAGAUUAAAACUCAAAGGAAUUGACGGGGACCCGCACAAGCGGUGGAUGAUGUGGAUUAAUUCGAUGCAACGCGAAAAACCUUACCUACGCUUGACAU